AGAAAUCAACAAGGAAGCAAAUGUUCAAGGUUUGGAUGCGGGGGUGAUGUUUUCUAUUUUUACAAAUCCCAUUUCCUUCACUUUUCUUCCAAACUUCGAAUCACUCGAUUUGUGAAAUCAUGUUUGGAGAUAAAGAAGCCAGUAGUUUGGUUAUGAAUUAUGUUAUACUCAUAUUAUUAUUAUUAAUACUUUGGGUUUUAUAUCUAGGGAUGUAGAAGGAGCCUGACGAUCCAGUUAAUCAAAAUUCAGAUGAUGGCAUUCUAUUUCGAUUCCAUAUGAAGAAGCACAUUCAUCAUUUUGUAUUUCUUUUCUAACUUGAUGUAGAAAUAAAAAAAAUUCAAUCAGUUUCA